UCUGGUGAUCGGGAUUUUUCUAAUUGUCUCCAUCAAUUACGCAUGAGGAGAUAUAAUAUACUUUUGGCACAGCCGCAACAAGCAUCGGCACCUCUUACUGCUGCAGCAAAGACUGUGUGGCUAUGGACAAGCCUUUCAGCUGGAGGAGCCCCACUUACUAGUGGUGAUUCAACACAACUAACUAAUGUUAGUAGUAAAUGCAUUGCUGUAACAUCUGAAAGCAGAUAUUCUGAACCCAUUCAACUUAGCUCUGGAAGCCUUUCUUUGGGAAAUCCCAAUUCAAUUACUAAUGUAAGGGUCGGCGAUACUAAGUUUAAAGGAAAAUAUGUUCAUAAUGCCCUGAAUCAGCCUGGCAUAUCAAGAGCCUUUAGUGCGCCAGUUGGAAUUCAAGAAACUAAGGGCAACAGUUACACUUAUCAAUCAGAAUUCACACAAACAAAGCAGUUUAAGAAAGCUCCACAUGAAUUCUUCAGAGGCAGUGGGCCUGUUGUCUCUGCAAGUUUGUCUACACCCAACUUCCUUCCUGGUAAUUCUGACCUUGCGGGGAGUAAUGACAGCAAUCCCAUAGGUAGUGCUCAGAAUCACUAUACUCAACUUGUGAGGCCUAAUAACUUCUCUAUGCAAAAACUUGCUUUUCCACAUGGUAAUUUUUCAAUGAAUCCCAGACCUGAUGGUAUUAAACUUUCUUUGGCAUCAUCUACAAAUGUGCUUGAUAUUGGUAAACUAGGUAUACCUGAAUGCCAAGCUGCUCCUAAUUUCCAUCAGCAAGCUUUGGAAGAGUUAAAAAAGGUCUCUUUUGAGUCUUCUAAUCUCGGUACCUUAAAUGUACCACGUAAAGGCCAUAUGACACGCAACAAUCAAGCAAACAAAUGGCAUCCUUGUGGUCCUGAAUUUCCACCUCCUCCAUUCUCCCCAGCAUCAGCAGUUGGCAACACUGCCUUCAAUAGUGGUACCUGGGGAACUCAAGGAAGGCCACCACCUUCAGAAUAUAUGCAAGGUUUUAUUGGUAUUAUCUUACUGGCUUUAGACACCCUGAAAGCUGAAAAAGUUAUGCCUACUGAAGCAAACAUAACUGACUGCAUUCGUUUUGGAGAACCAAAGUGCCACAGUACUGAUGUACGAAAAGCACUGGAUAGUGCAAUUGAGCAAAAUAUGGUAGUUGAACAAAGGUUAGGUGCAUUGCAGCUUUAUGUUGGUAAAAAUGACAAACUCUGGAAGUGUGUGAACACUACAGGUGGUAAUCCUGACCAGUACCCAAAAGCAACAUGGGAUGAAAUACAAAAGUUCCUAGCUUCCUCUGCAGGGCGAUCAGCCAUAUUAGUUUCUCAUUGCAGAUAUGAAGCAGCAUUGAUACUGAGAAAAGCAUGCUUGAAAGACUCUGCUUUGGGUGAUGUACUCCAGAUCUUGAAUAUGGUAAUUUUUCCAAAAAAAUGGAUUAUUCAUCAUCCUUCCGGAUGGCAACCGAUUGCCAUUACCCUCCAUGACUAAAACAGAGGCAGAUACCACGCUAGGUGGCCCUAUGAAAUUGAUGGUCACAAAUGCCAGGUACAUAAUAUAUUUGAUCUGAGUGAGUAUUGCAGUUGAGCAGGUUCUGGGGAUGUGGAGGCCAAUUGAAAGAACUACUUUGGAUGAGUAUCUUAAAAGAUACUUUGAUGAUUGAAUCAAGUAGGCUUAGGUUUUAUGUCUUAUUUUAUUCUAUAUUUUGUUGAGCUCUAGUGAGCGUCUAAAGGGAGAAGGAUGUUUAGGGUAUGGUGCAUGUUAUGGACAGUAUGAAAUUCUGUAAAGUUGCAGAUUUGCAAUUAUAGCUUCUGUGCCAUGGGUGAAUGUUGAAGAGGUGGUGCUCAUACCUGAAUUUUCAGGGCUUUUUUUCAUUACAAACUAUCUACUAGAUAAGAUAGAUAGUCAAUGGUGAAUAUCCCCGAAAGGUUUGGUGACAGCCUUUACUUUCGAGGUACAAUGUGUUGUGCAGGAGGCACUGUUGGGGAAGCAAGUUUUUGGGUUUCGGUAAAUCAAUAGUCAGUCUGCAACAAGUUGCAAUUGUAGUGUAGUUUUAAUAUUUUUGGAUUACGGCCAGCACUAUUAAUGUUCUUCAUGUGAGAUGGCCUGUUGAAGAGCAAGUAUGGGAGUAAUUCUGAAGUGAUGAUUACAAGUAGGGAUUUUAGUACCGUACUUCAUAGAUGAGUGGUGGAGCAUA
rnacentral:misc_RNA from 1 species